AACGAACGCUGGCGGCAGGCUUAACACAUGCAAGUCGAGCGCCCCGCCAGGGGAGCGGCAGACGGGUGAGUAACGCGUGGGAACGUACCUUUUGGUUCGGAACAACUCCGGGAAACUGGAGCUAAUACCGGAUAAGCCCUAACGGGGAAAGAUUUAUCGCCGAAAGAUCGGCCCGCGUCUGAUUAGCUAGUUGGUGAGGUAACGGCUCACCAAGGCGACGAUCAGUAGCUGGUCUGAGAGGAUGAUCAGCCACACUGGGACUGAGACACGGCCCAGACUCCUACGGGAGGCAGCAGUGGGGAAUAUUGGACAAUGGGCGCAGGCCUGAUCCAGCCAUGCCGCGUGAGUGAUGAAGGCCUUAGGGUUGUAAAGCUCUUUUGUCCGGGAAGAUAAUGACUGUACCGGAAGAAUAAGCCCCGGCUAACUUCGUG
rnacentral:rRNA from 1 species